rnacentral:rRNA from 1 species
UACAGAGGUGGCAAGCGUUGUUCGGAAUUACUGGGCGUAAAGGGCGCGUAGGCGGUCUUGUAAGUCUUGUGUGAAAUCCCUCGGCUCAACUGAGGAACUGCACGGGAUACUGCGAGACUUGAGUUCGGGAGAGGGAAGCGGAAUUCCGGGUGUAGCGGUGAAAUGCGUAGAUAUCAAGUGGAACACCAGUGGCGAAGGCGAGUCUCUGGACAUUUGCUGACGCUGAGGCACGAAAGCCAGGGGAGCAAACGGG